rnacentral:rRNA from 1 species
CMGSACCCCUGUGAAAWSGCCCUUAAGCCCUAACAGGGCCAAGGAGCUGGUAUCAGGCACAACUAUUAGCCCAAGACACCUAGCUACGCCACACCCACACGGAACAACAGCAGUAAUUAACCUUGAAUAUAAGCGCCAGCUUGAUUCAGCUAAAGUAAAGAGGGCCGGCAAAUGUGGUGCCAGCCGCCGCGGUUAUACCACAUGACCCAAAUUGACUUCCUACGGCGUAAAGCGUGAUUAAAGUCCCCCGACACUGUAGUUAAACUGCUAUUAAGUCGUGAAACACUUUUGACCAGGAAACCCAAAAACGAAAGUUACUACACACAAAACAACUUGAACUCACUAAAGUUAGGACACAAACUAGGAUUAGAUACCCUACUAUGCCUGACCAUAAAAUAUUAACUUACACCAUUCAUCGCCAGGGAACUACGAGCAAAGCUUAAAACCCAAAGGACUUGACGGUAUCCCAUACCCCCCUAGAGGAGCCUGUCCUUUAAAUCGAUUAUCCACGUUUAACCUCACCACUUCUAGCCAUCAGUCUGUAUACCUCCGUCGCCAGCUUACCGCAUGAGUGAUAAAAAGUAAGCUUAAUGUACAAACUUCAGUACGUCAGGUCAAGGUGCAGCUUAUGAAGCGGGAAGAGAUGGGCUACACUUUCUAACUUAGAACAAACGAAAAACUAACUGAAAWAUAGCUAGAAGGCGGAUUUAGAAGUAAAAAGAKAUCAGAAUACUCUUKUUAACACGGC